rnacentral:rRNA from 1 species
GAUGAACGCUGGCGGCGUGCCUAAUACAUGCAAGUCGAGCGAACAGACGAGGAGCUUGCUCCUCUGACGUUAGCGGCGGACGGGUGAGUAACACGUGGAUAACCUACCUAUAAGACUGGGAUAACUUCGGGAAACCGGAGCUAAUACCGGAUAAUAUAUUGAACCGCAUGGUUCAAUAGUGAAAGACGGUUUUGCUGUCACUUAUAGAUGGAUCCGCGCCGCAUUAGCUAGUUGGUAAGGUAACAGCUUACCAAGGCAAUGAUGCGUAGCCGACCUGAGAGGGUGAUCGGCCACACUGGAACUGAGACACGGUCCAGACUCCUACGGGAGGCAGCAGUAGGGAAUCUUCCGCAAUGGGCGAAAGCCUGACGGAGCAACGCCGCGUGAGUGAUGAAGGUCUUCGGAUCGUAAAACUCUGUUAUUAGGGAAGAACAAAUGUGUAAGUAACUAUGCACGUCUUGACGGUACCUAAUCAGAAAGCCACGGCUAACUACGUG